rnacentral:rRNA from 1 species
UACGUAGGGUGCGAGCGUUAAUCGGAAUUACUGGGCGUAAAGCGUGCGCAGGCGGUGAUGUAAGACAGAUGUGAAAUCCCCGGGCUCAACCUGGGAACUGCAUUUGUGACUGCAUCGCUGGAGUGCGGCAGAGGGGGAUGGAAUUCCGCGUGUAGCAGUGAAAUGCGUAGAUAUGCGGAGGAACACCGAUGGCGAAGGCAAUCCCCUGGGCCUGCACUGACGCUCAUGCACGAAAGCUAGGGGAGCAAACAGG